rnacentral:rRNA from 1 species
GAGAGGACCGGGAUGGACGGACCACUGGUGUAUCUGUUGCAUAUCAAGUGCAUGGCAGAGUAGCCAAGUCCGGAAGGGAUAAACGCUGAAGGCAUCUAAGCGUGAAGCCCCCCUCAAGAUGAGAUAUCCCAUCGAAAGAUUAAGACCCCUUGAAGACGACGAGGUAGAUAGGAAUGAGGUGUAAGCACAGUAAUGUGUUCAGCUGACAUUUACUAAUCGGUCGAGGGCUUAACCAA